rnacentral:lncRNA from 1 species
UGUGCGACCUUCUCUACUACUUUCUCCCACACCCUCCAACCUCUUGAGGCUGCCACCUCCAUUGGCUCUAGGCUCUGGAUCUCCAGUCGAUGCUCCAUUAUCUCCUUCACCUUCGGACUAUGAGGGCUUGGACAAGCUCCAUCGUCUUCAAUAUCCGAUCGAUGCUUGAUGGUAUUGGAAUGGAAGGCUCUAGCAACAGAAAAAGUUUAGCAAAAGAUGUUAUCUCAAAUGGCCAAAUGGCUACACGAUUUCAAUUUCAAAUGGGAGGG